UCGGGAAUAUUGCGGCAAUGGAGGAAACUCUGACGCAGUGACGCCGCGUGCGGGAAGAAGGUUUUCGGAUUGUAAACUGCUUUAGACAGGGAAGAAAAAAGACAGUACCUGUAGAAUAAGCUCCGGCUAACUACGUGCCAGCAGCCGCGGUAAUACGUAGGGAGCAAGCGUUAUCCGGAUUUAUUGGGUGUAAAGGGUGCGUAGACGGGAAGGCAAGUUAGUUGUGAAAUCCCUCGGCUUAACUGAGGAACUGCAACUAAAACUAUCUUUCUUGAGUGCUGGAGAGGAAAGUGGAAUUCCUAGUGUAGCGGUGAAAUGCGUAGAUAUUAGGAGGAACACCAGUGGCGAAAGGCGACUUUCUGGACAGUAACU
rnacentral:rRNA from 1 species